rnacentral:rRNA from 1 species
UGGGGAAUAUUGCGCAAUGGGGGAACCCGUGACGCAGCAACGCCGCGUGCGGGAAGAAGGUCUUCGAUUGUAACUGUGUCGCAAGGGAAGAAGACAGUGACGGUACCUUGUGAGAAAGUCACGGCUAACUACGUGCCAGCAGCCGCGGUAAUACGUAGGUGACAAGCGUUGUCCGGAUUUACUGGGUGUAAAGGGCGCGUAGGCGGACUGUCAAGUCAGUCGUGAAAUACCGGGCUUAACCCGGGCUGCGAUUGAAACUGACAGCCUUGAGUAUCGGAGAGGAAAGCGGAAUUCCUAGUGUAGCGGUGAAAUGCGUAGAUAUUAGGAGGAACACCAGUGGCGAAGGCGGCUUUCUGGACGACAACUGACGCUGAGGCGCGAAAGUGUGGGGAGCAAACAGGAUUAGAUACC